ensembl:lncRNA
GUGCCGGUGUCUCCUCCCUCUCACAGGCUCCAGACAUCUAACCACAACAAAAAAACAAAACCGCCUACAAAGAAAGCCAUACAUGCCAUUAUUGAAAAAAAGCUUGCGUUGUAUUCUGAAUAUUUAAUGCUUAAAAAACAAAAUAACUCCAUGCUGCUGUCAAUGCAGUCCCAUCUCUACACAACGGCAGCUUCCAAGGAAGAUGUGGCGAGGCAAGAAAAGUGUGUCGCUACUGAAGAGCCCUCUGCUGCAGCUGGGAAAGCACUUGAAGAAGAGGAAGCUUCUAAAAGCAGCAUGCCAAAUGAUCCUUCUACAGCUGCUUCGGAGAAACCUUCAACAGGUAUACAAGUCACUGCUGUAAAAUGACUAAAGUGCUAACAAAAUCAUAUGUAGUCAAGACUGCAUUGGUAGUUUUUGAAUUGUUGGUAAAAAAACACUUGAUCUUUGCCUGCUAAUAACAAACCUGUUUAUUUAGAUGACUUAAAUUGAUUCAUCUGUAAGUAUAAUGAAAUGGUUUAAAAAGUACUAGAAGAAUAUGGCAUCAUCAACUGCACUGAAAUAACUCCUUUCCAUCCUGGAGAAUAUAGACUGCAUUACCAAGUCUGAGAACAUUUCUAAAGUCAUACUGCAACAAUAUUGGAAUGGGAAUAUGGAUAACCUUAAUCUCUUUGCAUCCACAGAAUAUCCACAAAUGCUGAAAGUUGCUGCCACUUCCACAAAGAAUGAAGCUGAGAGUCUCGGGGUUCUCACAGCAGUGCCUGGAACCACCUGGAAGGACCAGAGGAAGAAGCGGCCAAGUUUCCAGCUCAACCGCAACUUGUCACAAGAAGAAUCCAGGCGUUUGUGGUUAAAUGUCAACACAUAUUCGGAUGACGUGGAAAUAGGGCCUGGUGUCUGUACCGAGAGGGAGAAGGGAUAUGCAGCCCUGAACACUGUGGAGACUGUAGGAUCGGACAAUACAAAGGUUAUUGCUGAUCAUACCAAGUCAAGUUCAGAGUCCGGUCCCAUGGCCUUCGGAUUGUCAUCACUCUCGGAAUAUCAAAAAGCAAAGAAAAAGAUUAACCAUGAGAAUUCUCAUCAUCACAUCUGUAAGGAAGGAACUGCAACUUCAAAUUCUUCAGUUUGUAAAACUGCUAUUCUUAAUAUGCUAUCAAUUCCUACAAACCAAAGUGAACAGCAGAGCAGCCAAACGAGGCGUGCGAGGGAGGACGCUGCUUUUGCAAGUUCACAAGCUAUCUCCGGCACAUCAGUACCCAUUAAGGCGCUCCAAAAACCUGCUCUGCUAUGUGAAGGAAAGGCUGAGAAAGCAUAUGGACUGUAUGAAGACAUUUCAGAUGAUGACAUGCCACAUUUGACCGCCAAACUACCAAACACCGAUCGAUGGGAAUUAAGCUCUCCUGCAAGUUUUGAUGACACAAGUGAAGCAGAAAGUAAGGCUGUAGAAACUGCUACGCCUACUCUUGUAACUGCAACCAGCGACAGGCACUCCCCAGGACAUGGACACGUGCAGGGUCAUGAUUACAUUGACACACUUGCUAUAGCACAACAUUCUCGCUCUUGCUCAUUUUAUUUUGAAACGGAUGAUGGUUUUGAAAGGAGGUUCUGUCCUAAAUGUGAUUGUGGGAGACAAACGGUCCCCUCUGCUUCAUGCAGUCCGUCCUUUGUUUUGAACAGUGAGGAUGAGACUGACGACGAAAUGGAUGACUAUUUAGCCAUACCUAUAAGCGUAAUCCAUCUUAAAUAUGCACCAGAAGAUGAAAACCAGGAUAGCUCCGAAACAAAUGUCCUAGAAGUGGUGGAAACGGGAGCCCAAGAAAGACCGAGGGGCGCAAGUCAAACUGCUUUUCCUUCGCUGCCGGUGUUUGACACGGAGGAGUGCUUCCUGCGAGCUGUGCAAUGCGAGUUUACGUUGGGCAGUAGCCUCCUUGUACAUGAAACGGACUCUGAGGAAGCUGUAUCAACACCUCAGAAGAGAAGAGAGUCUGUAGACAGCUCUGACACUGUGGACAGUUGUGAUUACUCCUCUGCAUCAGAACACAACUUUUUGACUGUGCCCAGGAAGAUGAUGAGGAAAGGCUCAGCAACUGUGCCCUCAGCGACAGAUGAUUUUAUGUCUGAAGAAGAGGGUAAGGACAAUAGGGUCACAAAUAUCCUAAAAGACCAAAUGAGCCCUAAAGGGGCUAAACAUAGACGGAUGUCUGAAGCCAAACACAGUGGCUCCAAGCAGAUUUCAACUGUAGAGAGGGAGGACAUAAUAGUCUUGGAUUCUGACACGGAGGAUGAAAGUGUUGAAAUAUGCAAAGCCACUCUUAAAAGAAAGCGGAAACGAGGGUGCACAGCAAGCGCAGACAUUGCUGAUGCCUCAUGCAGUCAACAAAAGAGACAUUCGCCUAGAACUGAAUCUCAAAAGAACACACAUGCAUCUGCUUGCUUACCAACAGCACCACGCCAAUCCAGAGAUGAUGCGGUGUAUGAAGAAGAGAUGCAGGACACGUUCGCUGAUGUGUCACAGAGUACAGGGAAGAGGGAGCAGUUUAUUCAAACCAAAGAUGUUCAACACAAGACCCACAUACAAAAGAGUUCCGCAGUAGAGGGGGUAAUAAUAAUCAUCGACUCUGAUGCAGAGGAUGACAACCCCCAAAACUGUGAAGAGUUUAGCAGGGAAAUAUCUGCCGUCUCAGCCAACGGCAAGGCCCCACGUGUUGGAUUCGAAACUGCGUACAGAGGGUGUGGACCUGCUGAGGCAAAGCUCCAAGAAACUGGACUUUCUUUAGCAGACUCGCCACAACGCCAGUCUGACCUUCAUGACACACAUUUCAGAGGAGUAACAGAGGCUGCGUGCUCCUACCUGUCUCUCAGUCAGCAGCUGGUAGAAGCUAAAGGGGUCUCUGCGCAGGUACCGCACCAGGCACACAAACUAUUGUCAAAAAGCGUGGUAGGUCAUCAUGCUUCUAAAGAAGUGGUUAAAGGCAAUUCCAGCAAAAAGGCCAUUCCAGAAGAAAUUACCUCAUCAGGAUCAGAUGGUAACCGUGAUGUUACACAAAGCAGAUCAGGUGAAUCUGCCAGGAUUCAGGCAGGUGAAUCUGCAGACCGUCUUUGUGGAACUGCUAAUGCAGAGCCUGUGAUCCCUCGCUUUCUUGCACAGCCUUCUGGAAACACAGCAUGCUUGACACUUUUAAGAGAACCUGUAGUUCACAAGCCGCGUAAAGAUAAAUCUCUGUCAGUCCAGACCCCCACUUCAUCCAGCAAAAAGGUAACAUUCUGUGAAAACAAUAAAGUAAUAUAUCUGCUCCCACCCGAAGCUGCAAUGGUGUCAAGACGGCGCUCCUUACCUCCGCAGGAAGGCCCAUCCACCUCCUUCAUUAGUUCGUCCUCCGCAGGUGAACAUUGUCAUGUAGGCAAACAAAGGUCUGCUUACUCAAAAGGUUUGUCUCCACUAAAGGGCUUUAGUCUUCCAUUUAAUCCCAGAGAACAAUCGUGUCCACCUAAACGGCGGUGGUCUUACAGCAGCCCUGCAACGUCAUCCAAGCCCACAAAAGGCCCAGCACAGACCGUGCAGCUCAAUGCCACUGGCUAUGUAAAGGAACAAGUGAAUGGCGCGUCUCCAAACAGUCCUUUGUCACGCGACAUCAGACGCAGACCUGGUCUCCAUGACAAGCCUGGUAGGGAAAGGGCUCCCAGAAAGAAGCGCCAGUCCCACAAGACUCCAACCACCAUGAUGAAGAAAGCCACCAAUGAUGCCAUUCAGUGGACAAAGAACAGAAAACAGGCCUCCCAAAAAGAAAGAAACUCAGUGGGUGAGGGUUACAAGUGGGCAGAGAAGUCAAACGUGGCAAAGCCAACCAAAGCUAUCCUCGUAGGUCCCAGCAGGGAGAGGAAGGGGAGAUGA